CUUGGCCAAGGUUGCUGUGAGUUGUUGUCCAGGAGCUGCUAGAGGGUAGAGAAUAAAAUAUGUAAAUUGACACAUAUAUAUGUGUGUGUGUACCUGGGUCUCAGUAAGUUUGUGUAUGUGUGUAUCUGGCUGUUUAUGUCAGUGUGUGUCUGGCUGUGUGUAUAUCUGGCUGUGUUUGUCAGUGUGUAUGUGUAUCUGUGUGUAUGUAUACCUGUGGAUAUGUACUUGUGUGUCGGUGUGUG